rnacentral:tRNA from 1 species
GCGGGUGUAGUUCAAUGGUAGAACCUCAGCUUCCCAAGCUGAUGACACGGGUUCGAUUCCCGCCACCCGCUCCA